AUCCUACGGGGGGCAGCAGUAGGGAAUUUUCGCCAAUGGGCGCAAGCCUGAACGAGCAAUGCCGCGUGAACGAGGAAGGUCUUCGGAUCGUAAAGUUCUGUUGAAGGGGAAAAAGAGCGGAGAGAGGAAAUGGUCUCCGAUUGAUAUUACCCUUCGAGGAAGUCACGGCUAACUACGUGCCAGCAGCCGCGGUAAUACGUUGGUGGCGAGCGUUAUCCGGAAUGAUUGGGCGUAAAGGGUGCAUAGGCGGCCUGCUAAGUCUGGAGUGAAAGGUACCGGCUCAACCGGUACAGGCUCUGGAAACU
rnacentral:rRNA from 1 species